GACGAACGCUGGCGGCGUGCCUAAUACAUGCAAGUCGAACGCAGUGGGGACGGGGGAGUAACACGUGGGUAACCUCCCAUCAGCGGGGGUAACACGUGGAAACAGGUGCUAAACCUAUACUGACGGAUGGACUCGCGGUGCAUUAGCUAGGUGGGGGGGUAACGGCUCACCAAGGCCACGAUGCAUAGCCGACCUGAGAAGGGGAAUGGCCAACCUGGGGACGGAGCCAGGGCCAGACUCCCACGGGGGGCAACAGUAGGGAAUCUUCCGCAAUGGACGAAAGUCUGAACGGAGAAAGCCCGGGGGGUGAAGGAGGUUUUCGGGUCGGAAAACUCUGUUGUUAGGGGAACGGUAACUAACCAAAAAGCCACCGCCAACUACGUGCCAGCAGCCGCGGUAAUUC
rnacentral:rRNA from 1 species